AGUGAACGCUGGCGGUAGGCCUAACACAUGCAAGUCGAACGGCAGCACAGUAAGAGCUUGCUCUUACGGGUGGCGAGUGGCGGACGGGUGAGGAAUACAUCGGAAUCUACUUUUUCGUGGGGGAUAACGUAGGGAAACUUACGCUAAUACCGCAUACGACCUACGGGUGAAAGCAGGGGAUCUUCGGACCUUGCGCGAUUGAAUGAGCCGAUGUCGGAUUAGCUAGUUGGCGGGGUAAAGGCCCACCAAGGCGAUGAUCCGUAGCUGGUCUGAGAGGAUGAACAGCCACACUGGAAUUGAGACACGGUCCAGACUCCUACGGGAGGCAGCAGUGGGGAAUAUUGGACAAUGGGCGCAAGCCUGAUCCAGCCAUACCGCGUGGGUGAAGAAGGCCUUCGGGUUGUAAAGCCCUUUUGUUGGGAAAGAAAAGCAGCAGGUUAAUACCCCGCUGUUCUGACGGUACCCAAAGAAUAAGCACCGGCUAACUUCGUG
rnacentral:rRNA from 1 species